CCCUAAUAAAUCCAGAGACCGAUCACUCUUCCAAACGGCCAAACCUCAUGAAAUACAGACCGAUUAUUCUUCCAAAGCUCAUGAAACAUAUUCUCUCUCUUUCUCUUCCAAAUCUCCGGCUCCCAUAGUGUAUCGCCUGAAUCAGUGGGUUCAACAUUUCCGGUAAGGCUAGGGUAGCAUAAAUCCAGGAGAUGAAGAAAACCCUAGACAACGAAUCUUUCAACACCACGAAAGCUUAACGACAUUCAUCCUCACUAUUAACGUGGUUCUUCAAAUGCAUUGUUCUAAUUCCUUCCCAUCCGAAAAUCACCUUCAGACACCACAAUCAACCAUCACUGAUUGUAACACUUCACCCAUGGGUUGUUGCUCCUUUCUUAGUUGUGGCUGAUUACUAUGUUGAUAAAUUCCGAUAGCAGCAAUGGUUUCUGGGUGAAUGUUUCGAUUGUGCUAUCAAGUACGCCAUUACCAGGUAAUUUUUGAGAACCUUCUAUUUUCAGUGUUUGUUGAGCACCAAUUGUUCGAUGGUUUGUCUCAAUGAGCCUAAUUUCAUGUGGGUAUGCUUAAGUUUUGAAAUUCACACAUCAAAUGGGUUGCUUUGCAUCUUUGAAUUUGUUAUAUGAAUCACAAAUGAUAAACCUUAAUAUCGUAUAACAUGAGUUGUAAUUGUAACAUGUUUGUAUUUGGUUUGGGUCAAAGCCUGUGCCACAUUAUUAAUCUUAGAUUUGCGAUUGGAAGUAUAAGGACUGUAGCAUCUUUUUGCGCUGAAGAGAAAGUGAUGCGGGUUUAUAGAGAUAAAUGUGCAGGUCCUGAAAGAAUGAGGAUAAAACAAGGUUUGAUCGAGGGGGCUGGGUUUGGAGUAUCGUGUUUCUUACUUUUUUGUGUGUAUGCAGCUAGCUUUUACGCCGGAGCUUGGCUUGUUGAGGCGGGAACAACUACAUUC
rnacentral:lncRNA from 1 species